UUAAUGUGCUGAACCAUUGCCCAAUCAGAAUUUGCUGAAAUCUGUCUUCUCCUCUUUCUAUCAUUUCAUUGCCCAGUUGACGAUUUCAUUUUUCAAAACUUUCCUUCUGAAACAUUUCAUUUUCUUUUUUGUUUUGAAACUUUCUCUCUUCCAUUAUUCAUCUCCUGAAGCUUUCCUAAUCUGGUUCACACACCCAAUCAUACCUUUUUUUGCUCUUCGGCAUACUCAGGGACCUCCAUUUCUAGGUAUAUCUCCUCUUUUCUUCUUAGAGUUUCUGUUGCAAGAAUAUGUGCAAGAUUAUUUGCAGAUCUUGGUGUAUGUUGGAAUCUGAUAUUAUUGGAGCCACUUAUUUUAUGUUGGAUAUCAUAAAUAUAUGCCCCUACCAGUGCUCGAUCUUGACCAUUUGUGUUGCAUUUCUUUAUUAUUGCGAGGGAAUCUCCUUCAAAGAUGAUUGACUGCCAUCCCUUUUCGACUUCUAUUUGAACUACUUUCCAACAGGCUAUUACUUCAGCAGAAAAUGCAGAAGUUAUGUCAUUGUGGAUCUUUGAACAAGAUAAAAGAACUUUUCCUUCCACAUCUCUGGCCACAAUACCUGAAGCUGAACGGUUCUGACUCUCAUUGUAUGCACCGUCGAAGUUAAUCUUAAUGAACUCACAAUGUGGGUGCCUCCAUCUUUUGUUUUCUGUUAUUAUUACAAAUUUUCUUUUUUCGAAACCAGUAAGCUUAGUAAUGUAGUUACUGAUGAAUUUUGUAAUUUCUUUUUCAUUACUGAUUUUGUCCUCGUGUAUUCUUUUGUUUCGAUCUCCCUAUAUGGCCCAAAGUGCGCAGCAGAAAAGGCGACCUUGACAAGGGAUGAGAUGCUCAAACACCCAGGUAAGCCACUGUACGAAGUCCAUGCUCUGAUUCAUUAUAAUAUUCUGAAGUGAUAGUGUUGUCCAUACUUCCACUGUAACAAGGCAUUCUCGGAAUAAAUGGUCCAUUGUUUCAGCUCUUUCUCCACAUCGGGGGCAACUUGUGUUGACUGAUAACAUCCUGUACUGCAUAUUCACCUUUGUAGGCAAAUAAUUCCAUGAUAGCCUCCAGAUUGUAAUAUUUAUUUUUGUUGGUAGAUUCAGGCUCCAAAGUUUUUUGUAGAAUUUUCUGUAGAUGGUUUGUAAAGCAUAAGCUCUAAGAUUUUCAUCCGAACUAUGUAAUAGUUUAUAGGCACUUCGGACCGUGAAUUCACCCGACAAUUCACCUCCCCAAAUGAGGAAGUCCUCAUAAGGUGUUCGUGCCAAGGGGAUUCGAAGGAUUCUUGCAGCGUCUUCUUCUGUGAAGGUACUAUUUAUCAGCUCCCUCUUCCAAAGUCUAUUAUUACUAUCAAUUAACUCAUUUACUUUAAAAUCACGCAUAGAAUUGGUAGUUGUUGAUAAUCUAAAAUUAAUUGCAUUUGGAAUCCAAGCAUCAUCAUUAAUGGAUAUAUUAGUACUCGUACCAACCCUCCAGCAUAGUCCUUUUGCCAAUAUAGCUUUAGCUGCCCAAAUACUUU
rnacentral:lncRNA from 1 species